GUCGAACGAGAAUCUACGGAUCGAGGAUUCGUCCAAGUGAAGUAGAGGACAGUGGCGGACGGGUGAGUAACGCGUGAGGAACCUGCCUUUCAGAGGGGGACAACAGUUGGAAACGACUGCUAAUACCGCAUGACACAUUGGGGUCGCAUGGCCCUGAUGUCAAAGAUUUAUCGCUGAAAGAUGGCCUCGCGUCUGAUUAGCUAGUUGGUGAGGUAACGGCCCACCAAGGCGACGAUCAGUAGCCGGACUGAGAGGUUGACCGGCCACAUUGGGACUGAGAUACGGCCCAGACUCCUACGGGAGGCAGCAGUGGGGAAUAUCGGGCAAUGGGCGCAAGCCUGACCCAGCAACGCCGCGUGAAGGAAGAAGGCUUUCGGGUUGUAAACUUCUUUUGUCAGGGACGAGUAGAAGACGGUACCUGACGAAUAAGCCACGGCUAACUACGUGCCAGCAGCCGCGGUAAUACGUAGGUGGCAAGCGUUGUCCGGAUUUACUGGGUGUAAAGGGCGUGUAGCCGGGAGGGCAAGUCAGAUGUGAAAUCCACGGGCUCAACUCGUGAACUGCAUUUGAAACUGUUUUUCUUGAGUAUCGGAGAGGCAAUCGGAAUUCCUAGUGUAGCGGUGAAAUGCGUAGAUAUUAGGAGGAACACCAGUGGCGAAGGCGGAUUGCUGGACGACAACUGACGGUGAGGCGCGA
rnacentral:rRNA from 1 species